rnacentral:rRNA from 1 species
UACGUAGGGUGCAAGCGUUAUCCGGAAUUAUUGGGCGUAAAGGGCUCGUAGGCGGUCUGUCACGUCGGGAGUGAAAACACGGGGCUUAACCCCGUGCCUGCUUCCGAUACGGGCAGACUAGAGGUAUGCAGGGGAGAACGGAAUUCCUGGUGUAGCGGUGAAAUGCGCAGAUAUCAGGAGGAACACCGGUGGCGAAGGCGGUUCUCUGGGCAUUACCUGACGCUGAGGAGCGAAAGUGUGGGGAGCGAACAGG